rnacentral:rRNA from 1 species
UGGGGGAUAUUGCACAAUGGGCGAAAGCCUGAUGCAGCGACGCCGCGUGGGGGAUGAAGGCUUUCGGGUUGUAAACCUCUUUCGCUAUCGAACAAGGCCCGCUUAGGGUGGGUUGAGGGUAGGUGGAGAAGAAGCGCCGGCUAACUACGUGCCAGCAGCCGCGGUAAUACGUAGGGCGCGAGCGUUGUCCGGAAUUAUUGGGCGUAAAGGGCUUGUAGGCGGCUUGUUGCGCCUGCUGUGAAAACGCGGGGCUUAACUUCGCGCGUGCAGUGGGUACGGGCAGGCUUGAGUGUAGUAGGGGUGACUGGAAUUCCAGGUGUAGCGGUGGAAUGCGCAGAUAUCUGGAGGAACACCGAUGGCGAAGGCAGGUCACUGGGCCAUUACUGACGCUGAGGAGCGAAAGCAUGGGUAGCGAACAGG